UUCUGGUUACUGUAAAAGAAUACCAUGCGGACUCAACUACAAGAUUGUCACAAGUAUGCAAUUGAUGGUGAAUUUUGGUUUCUUGGUGAAAGGCUGGUUGUGGUCGUGAACUGCUGAAGGGUUGGUGUUGUGAACUUUUUUGGAGAGGAGCUCUAUGAACUGUUUUCAAGGUUAUGUUAAAAUCAGGAUCAAGACGAAAGGAACUUAAUACUCAAGAAAUGGGCAGAAGGAUUCCAUGUAACAUCAGUGGCAACUGGUGGAAGCCAAUAUGGUGAAGUCAUGUCUUUCAAUGCGGGAUUCAGUGACCAAAUAGUACGAAGCGGGGUCAUUCAGCAGCCCACAUCAAAUGUGUACAGUUAAGUUGUCGGUGUUUGCAGGAAAUACUCGGUGUUAAAGUGCUUCAGCUCAGUAUUGUAGCUGCAAUUAGGUAUACAAUUUCCUAGUUACAGAUUAUGUUAACAUUGUAUCUAUUUGCUGCUGCCACGUAGAACAUUGUAUCUAUAAUUUUGUCGUCUUUAUCAUCUCAGUAAGAAAGUUGUAAAACUUGUACACAUUUAUAUCUUCUACUG